rnacentral:rRNA from 1 species
UUGGUCGUAGACCCGAAACCAGGUGAUCUACCCUUGGUCAGGUUGAAGUUCAGGUAACACUGAAUGGAGGACCGAACCGACUUACGUUGAAAAGUGAGCGGAUGAACUGAGGGUAGCGGAGAAAUUCCAAUCGAACCUGGAGAUAGCUGGUUCUCUCCGAAAUAGCUUUAGGGCUAGCCUCAAGUGAUGAUUAUUGGAGGUAGAGCACUGUUUGGACGAGGGGCCCCUCUCGGGUUACCGAAUUCAGACAAACUCCGAAUGCCAAUUAAUUUAACUUGGGAGUCAGAACAUGGGUGAUAAGGUCCGUGUUCGAAAGGGAAACAGCCCAGACCACCAGCUAAGGUCCCAAAAUAUAUGUUAAGUGGAAAAGGAUGUGGCGUUGCCCAGACAACUAGGAUGUUGGCUUAGAAGCAGCCAUCAUUUAAAGAGUGCGUAAUAGCUCACUAGUCGAGUGACACUGCGCCGAAAAUGUACCGGGGCUAAACAUAUUACCGAAGCUGUGGAUUGUCCUUUGGACAAUGGUAGGAGAGCGUUCUAAGGGCGUUGAAGCAUGAUCGUAAGGACAUGUGGAGCGCUUAGAAGUGAGAAUGCCGGUGUGAGUAGCGAAAGACGGGUGAGAAUCCCGUCCACCGAUUGACUAAGGUUUCCAGAGGAAGGCUCGUCCGCUCUGGGUUAGUCGGGUCCUAAGCUGAGGCCGACAGGCGUAGGCGAUGGAUAACAGGUUGAUAUUCCUGUACCACCUAUAAUCGUUUUAAUCGAUGGGGGGACGCAGUAGGAUAGGCGAAGCGUGCGAUUGGAUUGCACGUCUAAGCAGUAAGGCUGAGUAUUAGGCAAAUCCGGUACUCGUUAAGGCUGAGCUGUGAUGGGGAGAAGACAUUGUGUCUUCGAGUCGUUGAUUUCACACUGCCGAGAAAAGCCUCUAGAUAGAAAAUAGGUGCCCGUACCGCAAACCGACACAGGUAGUCAAGAUGAGAAUUCUAAGGUGAGCGAGCGAACUCUCGUUAAGGAACUCGGCAAAAUGACCCCGUAACUUCGGGAGAAGGGGUGCUCUUUAGGGUUAACGCCCAGAAGAGCCGCAGUGAAUAGGCCCAAGCGACUGUUUAUCAAAAACACAGGUCUCUGCUAAACCGUAAGGUGAUGUAUAGGGGCUGACGCCUGCCCGGUGCUGGAAGGUUAAGAGGAGUGGUUAGCUUCUGCGAAGCUACGAAUCGAAGCCCCAGUAAACGGCGGCCGUAACUAUAACGGUCCUAAGGUAGCGAAAUUCCUUGUCGGGUAAGUUCCGACCCGCACGAAAGGCGUAACGAUUUGGGCACUGUCUCAACGAGAGACUCGGUGAAAUCAUAGUACCUGUGAAGAUGCAGGUUACCCGCGACAGGACGGAAAGACCCCGUGGAGCUUUACUGUAGCCUGAUAUUGAAAUUCGGCACAGCUUGUACAGGAUAGGUAGGAGCCUUUGAAACGUGAGCGCUAGCUUACGUGGAGGCGCUGGUGGGAUACUACCCUAGCUGUGUUGGCUUUCUAACCCGCACCACUUAUCGUGGUGGGAGACAGUGUCAGGCGGGCAGUUUGACUGGGGCGGUCGCCUCCUAAAAGGUAACGGAGGCGCUCAAAGGUUCCCUCAGAAUGGUUGGAAAUCAUUCAUAGAGUGUAAAGGCAUAAGGGAGCUUGACUGCGAGACCUACAAGUCGAGCAGGGUCGAAAGACGGACUUAGUGAUCCGGUGGUUCCGCAUGGAAGGGCCAUCGCUCAACGGAUAAAAGCUACCCCGGGGAUAACAGGCUUAUCUCCCCCAAGAGUUCACAUCGACGGGGAGGUUUGGCACCUCGAUGUCGGCUCAUCGCAUCCUGGGGCUGUAGUCGGUCCCAAGGGUUGGGCUGUUCGCCCAUUAAAGCGGUACGCGAGCUGGGUUCAGAACGUCGUGAGACAGUUCGGUCCCUAUCCGUCGUGGGCGUAGGAAAUUUGAGAGGAGCUGUCCUUAGUACGAGAGGACCGGGAUGGACAUACCUCUGGUGUACCAGUUGUCGUGCCAACGGCAUAGCUGGGUAGCUAUGUGUGGACGGGAUAAGUGCUGAAAGCAUCUAAGCAUGAAGCCCCCCUCAAGAUGAGAUUUCCCAACUUCGGUUAUAAGAUUCCUCAAAGAUGAUGAGGUUAAUAGGUUCGAGGUGGAAGCAUGGUGACAUGUGGAGCUGACGAAUACUAAUCGAUCGAAGACUUAAUCAAAA